rnacentral:lncRNA from 1 species
AAUUUGUUAGUUUCUCAGGUAUAUUCUUGAUGUUGUUAUGCUUGACUUUAUUGGCUUUUGCGUUUGCAUUUGAAUUUUUAUUGUGUUUUCAUUUGAAUUUUUUUUGGAGGCAUGAAAUUUGGUGUUUGAAUGCAAAGAGUGCAAUAUAAAUUUUCCCCAAGAUGGAUUCGUGGGACUAUAGAUUUGGGAAGUUCCCAAUCCUCUGCUCAGAUCGAAUAGAUAAGUUGAGUGCUUUUGAAUUUUCAAUUUUUUUCAUUCCGUUUUUGUGUGGUUUUUAUACUGUUUGAGAUUGAGCUUGUCAUUUCAGGAAGGAUAGCCGUUCCCAUUACCUGAUUUGCAGUCUAGGACCUCAAUGAUCGAUUGCACCGACUUACAGUAUAUAGCUUGCUGAUUUGAUUUUCAUUUUUUAGCAGUUUAUCAGGUAAAGUUACAGUUUACAUGCAACAUACUCAAAUAAAGAAAACUGCAUUUCUUUCUUUCUGAGUUUCAAUCUGAUUUUUGUUUCUUUCUUUCUUUCUUCUUUUUGCUAUUGAAUGCCACCCGAAUACUAAAUUGGAGAGAUAACUGGACCUGGCUAGAAACUAAAGAUGGUGAAUGUUAAUUACUAGCUCAAUUGCUUUGAUCUUUGGCGGUCACUAUCUUUUCAAACGUAGGCAUUGUUAUCCUAUGGAUUUAAAUGCUUUUACCUGGCUAAUUAUCUUUUUAAGUUAAAUAAGUUCUAUUAAACUUUUCAAGUCUGUAGAUUUAAAUGAACUAUUGGAUAGAAAGAUUAGCUUAUGUUGAGAACUUUAUUUGAGCUGUUUUGGGUUUGUGCUUGGUUAGGAUUUAGAAUCCGGUUUGACUUGAAACUUUUUGGUGUUGUUCUUGAAUGUCUGUACUUUUGAUCUGGAAAGUGUAGUGUCCUAUGUUAAGCUAGAUAAAUGGUAGUGUUUUUCUGACGUUAAAGUGCUUUGUGCUGAAAUUGUUCUCGGUGUUGUUUUGAAUUUGAAAUUGAUUAGGAUAUAAGAUUUCUUUUUGCUUGAAAUUAUGUGGAGUUGUUCUUCAAUGUGUGAACUCUUGAUCAGAAAAGUUUAGUGUCCUAUGAAUAAGCUAGAUAACUGGUUGUGAUUUUCGGAAGUUAAGUGCUUUGUUGUCAGUGCUAUGCACUGCAGCUGUUCUGUAUUUGAAUUUGUUUAGGAUUUAUGAUUCUGUUUGGCUUGAACUAUCGUGAAGUUGAUCUUCCAUGUGUGUACUACUGAUCUGAAAAAUUUUAGUGUUCUUUGAUAAGCUAGAUAAAUUAUAGCGAGUUUCCGAUGUUAGGUGCUCAUUGAUGAGUACUUUUCUGCCAUCUACGCUUUUGUAUGAGAUAUCUUUGUUUCCUCCGCCACAUGGGUUAGUGUGCGCCCUAUCCAGAAAUGAAUAGUGUGGGGCUAGUGUAGGUCCUAUUCAUAGGGGAAUAAUGUGGUAUGUUUCGGUAAGUGCUCUGUGAAAUGACUCUCCCCUUUUUAGCUGUACAAAGGGUUAUGUGUUUGUCCUCAAAUUAUGAUAUUUUUGCCUUAUGAGAUGUGAACAAGGCAAGACCUAUGAGAUGUGAAGUGUACUGUUUGAAUAUGUGAGCUUUGAUGUGAAUAAAACUUAAUGUGUUUGAUUAGAAAUUUUAGAAUCAUGUAUAAAAUUAAUGUCUCUUGCAACAAAUUACUAAUGUGAUAUUUUGUUCUCCGUCAGUUGGUUAGUGUAGGUCCUGUUCAUAGGAGACUAAUGUGGUAUGUUCCGAUAAGUUCUCUGUGAAAUGACUCCCCCCUUUUUAGUUGUAAAAAGGGUUAUGUGGUUUGUGCUCAAAUUGUGAUAUUUUUUGCCUUAUAACAAGGCAAGACCUAUGAGAUGUGAAGUGUACUGUUUAAAUAUGUGAGCUUUGAUGUGAAUAAGACUUGAAGUGUUUGAUUAGAAAUUUUCGAAUCAUGUAUAAGAUUAAUGUCUCUUGCAACAAAUUACUAGUGUGCUUUUUGGUUCUAUGUCAGUUGGUUUAAAUAUCCGCUUGCUAAAUUAAUUUUGUUACCAUACUUUUUGUUAAUUCAUUGCCUGUGUAAUUGAUUGUUUUAAUUAGCAACGAACCAAGCAUGGGAAAUGCUCAUUGGUGAUUGAUUGUUAAACUAAGAAACAUAGGUAAGAGUUUCUGAUUUUUGUUCUACUUAGUUUUUAAUGUAAUCCACCUGUUGAGUGGUUUUGCUAAAAUGAUUUUGACUUUGUUAGCUUCUCUCCAUUAGGGCCAUUACCUAUUAUUCUUUAUUUCCAUAACUACAAGUGAUUUGCUGUCGCUACCUAUGUUUCUUGUUAUGUUCUCUUAUGGUUUGGGAUGUAAAAUUUCCCUCGGUCUACUAAUUUUUAACUUUAUUUUGUAAGUUGUAUUGUUGUCAAAUAAGAUGAGACUUUGUGGUAAAUUUCUUUUAUAAUUUUGGUUUCAAGGUUGAAAAGAGUUGGGUUAUAGGUUUCUUUUGACAAGGACUUGGGUUGUAACACAUGACGUGCACAUAUUAGGCAAAAUGCUGCACAAAAUUAUUGUAAUAUGGUUUGAAGGAUGUGACAAAUACGCUAGCUAUUACCUGGAGGUGAGAUCGAUUUGUUGGUUUUAAAAUUUAUUUUUGUGCUUAUUAGUGUUGAUGGGAGUAACAAGACACUCGAUCUAGUGUUUUAUAGAUCUAUAUCAUGAUUCAGCUUGCUGUGUCAAUUGUGUGCCUCGAAUUUGCUAGAGCAUCGAGCUUCAAAUUUGCCUUGUUUGUUAGACUUUGCUAGAUACAGGGUUUCGGCCACAAAUUGAAAUAGUUCAGGAUUCCUACUGUCAAUACUUUAUAUAUCUGGACUUCUAUGUGUUACCUUGUUCCCAUCAGCAUAUAAUAGUUAUAAAUGCUACUGCUGCAUUUAGCUUUGAUUUUCAUGGUGAAGUAACACAAAUGGAUUCAUGCAUGCAUUCAUGAACAUAAAAUACUAGACUAUAGAAGUAAUACAAAUGGAUGCAUGCAUUAUAAAUGCUGCUCUGCAUUCAAGUUUAAUACAUCCAUUUGCAUGAGCGUUCCUCUCUAGUCUAGUCCUAGAGUGUGUAUGCAAAUGGAGUUAUUUUUUUUGCUGCCUAGUCUUGCUGUGGAUAUACGACACUGGUUUGAAUAUUUUAUGGUAUUAUAGUUGAUAUAUACUGUCAAAACAUAGGUAUACAUGUAUGCUUUAUGGUAUCAUAGUUGAUAUAUAAUGUUUUGAUAUAAGAAUACAUGCAUGUUUAAGCCGAUUUGUGGUUAAAGAGUGUCUAAUAGUCUAAUAGAUAAGAAAGAAAAAAGAAAAUAAAGCAGACUAGAAGUACUCUCACUAAAAGUCUUAGUUCACUUGAUAUGAGGAUCACUUUUUCUUGGAUCAUUGAAUGUAUAUGUUGUAGCAAAUACAACCUCUUGAAUUUCCUUAGUUUUGCUUUUGAGAUGAAACGGGAACUGUAACCGGUUGGUGAUUAUUCAGAGUUUCUUUAGCUGAAUGGUGAAUGAAAGGUAUAGUGUAUAGGAGUGUUUAUAGCAAACUAUCCAUGCUUGUCUAUGAAAAAUACAUGACAAGAAGGAAAACUAUGUUUCUACGCUCGGUAGUAUCACUGUUGAUUGUAAUGUUAUGCUCAAAUUAAGUAGCAACACCAACUUUAAAUGUUGGCUAGUUGACCUUGUAUUAAUUUGAGCGACAGGCAAGCUUUUUGCGAAAUAUGUUUCAAGCCGUUAUGUAGUAAAUAUGAGCUUAUAUGAGUUAUUUUUAAUUUUUGUGUCUUAUAUCAGCAACUUGCCUACAUUGCCCUCAUGCCUUAGAGAUGAUUUAACUCAGCUAUAGUACGUUUAUGUAUAGUGCAUGUCAAUAAGCGUAGCACCACCCUCAACACUGCAUUUAUAUCUAAUUUCAUCCGUGUAGAAUUAAUAUAUGAACCAAUAAAGGGUGCACGAGCUGGAUUGGUGAAAUACAAGUAGUUUGCCUAACUAAUAGCAAAAAGCUCCAAGAGGCCGGCCUCUCUGAACAGCAGAACUUGCAUACACCAUAUAAUAGCUUAGCCUCUCUAGGCCUUUUGGUUUCUUGCCAUGAAAAAAUAAUUAAAAUCAAAGUAAACUUUUAAGAAUUAUCAAUAAGUGCACUUUAUUAUUGUUUCACCUUAAUUGACUAUAACUCACCAUAGAUCAAUGUUUCUUAAUUAUUAUUUUUUUAAAGAUAGUAGAUAAUUGAUAAAACAAACAACUCUCAAAGUUUCACUUAAAUUUAUUGAUAUUUUUCUAAAACUUCUAUCAAAAUUUCUAUUUUUCGGACUAUCGAUAUUUUCUCGAUGUCUGAUAUUUCAGUCAUUGGAAUGAACUAUGUAAAUUGCUGGAAAGUAAAUUAAUUUUUGGGUAAACACGAUAUAAUAAUAAGAAAAAAAAAUCAGUUUCUUAUUAAUAUAUUAAUGUUCGGACUAAACUUUUACAUCGAAUGUUUUUAAGAAAGUUGUUGGGGUCGGAUUUUUAGGUCCUUAGAACAACCGUCUGGUGCGGGCGUGCCAACACCUUGAGGAAGUGUGCAUGUCUUGAUCUUGUCUGGUUCAUGCGCUUUUCUUGACUUCUCUUCAAGAAGAUGUGAGCAGAAACGGUCAAUUCUGCUGCUGGGUUCUUCACAAUGACCUAGGAUGGCUCUUGAGGAUUUACUUCAGUAACAAAAUACAAUAAAAAUAAAGGGAUAUUUGCUAGAGAGGUGAAUCUCUAAGAGCAAAUGCACCCAUUUGUGGUGGGUUGGACUAAUCCUCAACCCGGGCUAAUCCACUAUUCAUCCAAAUCAGUCUUUGGUCCUUGGUUUGACGAUACAACAACGAGAUCAAUCCGAGAACCAAUUACUAUUUAUCUUUUAUAAAAAUGUUUUUUAAUAAUAAAGAAUUAUUAUUUUUUUACUUUAUUAUUGAAUUCAAUAAUUAUUUAUUUAUAAACAACCGCAUGUGGGUGUGCAGCAGGUGGGUUGAGGUGUGGAUGAUGUAAUGCGGGCCCCGCAAUUUCAGUUAGUCCAGACUAAUCCAUGGACUGAGAAUUGAUCCACGGCUUGCCCCGGUUAGCUGGGACCCAUAGCUAACCCAGAUGAAUUCUCAGCCGCUGCAUUCAAUUUUCUGUCCACCCCUCACCCCAACCCAGCCUUUUACUCCUCUGCUGCAUGUGCUCUAACAAUGGGAUGGACUGGUGCUCGCGAUGAGGCUUUAUGAACCAUGAAAUCAUAUUUCACAAAAGUUAGGUUAUUUACAAACAUCACGUUUGUUCCCUUUCAAAAAAAGAAAAAAAACAAACAAACAACACGUGUGUUCUUACUUGAGUAUUAAAUUUGUUAGGGUUGUUUAGAAAAAGAAAAGAGUGGUUUAAAGUAAAAUUAAAAAAUAAUAUAAUUUAUUAUCAUAAAUAGAUGUUUUUAAAUCCUAUUAAAACAAAAAAAGAAGAUGUUUUUAAAUCAUAAAUAGAUGUUGUUAACCAUGGUUAGAGUGAUUAAAAUAUAGGACAUGUGGCAUUUAACCAGGUGGGUGGGGAUGAAGGUGGGGAAGUAACGGUGGGGAGCAAAUUUGCAUCCCAUACAUUUAACCAGGUGGGUGGGGAAGUAAGGGUGGGGAGCAAAUUUGCAUCCCAUACAUCAUCCCUGUUUUUCUCCGUGGCCCAAUAGUUGAUUGACAUGUGGCGCGCAUGGUGCUAGUAUAAUUAUACUAUAGUGUAGCUAAUAAUUUCCGCAUUUGUUGUAAUCAAUGAUGAGCUUGAAGAACUUCGAGAGUUAUUUAUUUGCUAAUUAUGAUUGUGCAUGAACAAACAAGCUUGGCUCGAUAUAGCUAAUAAUAAGUUUAAACCAAUUAAAUGGAUUUUGAAAUNNNNNNNNNNNNNNNNNNNNUUGAUUUUCAUGGUGAAGUAACACGAAUGGAUUCAUGCAUGCAUUCAUGAACAUAAAAUACUAGACUAUAGAAGUAAUACAAAUGGAUGCAUGCAUUAUAAAUGCUGCUCUGCAUUCAAGUUUAAUACAUCCAUUUGCAUGAGCGUUCCUCUCUAGUCUAGUCCUUAGAGUGUGUAUGCAAAUGGAGUUAUUUUUUUUGCUGCCUAGUCUUGCUGUGGAUAUACGACACUGGUUUGAAUAUUUUAUGGUAUUAUAGUUGAUAUAUACUGUCAAAACAUAGGUAUACAUGUAUGCUUUAUGGUAUCAUAGUUGAUAUAUAAUGUUUUGAUAUAAGAAUACAUGCAUGUUUAAGCCGAUUUGUGGUUAAAGAGUGUCUAAUAGUCUAAUAGAUAAGAAAGAAAAAAGAAAAUAAAGCAGACUAGAAGUACUCUCACUAAAAGUCUUAGUUCACUUGAUAUGAGGAUCACUUUUUCUUGGAUCAUUGAAUGUAUAUGUUGUAGCAAAUACAACCUCUUGAAUUUCCUUAGUUUUGCUUUUGAGAUGAAACGGGAACUGUAACCGGUUGGUGAUUGUUCAGAGUUUCUUUAGCUAAAUGGUGAAUGAAAGGUCUAGUGUAUGGGAGUGUUUAUAGCAAACUAUCCAUGCUUGUCUAUGAGAAAUACAUGACAAGAAGGAAAACUAUGUUUCUACGCUCGGUAGUAUCACUGUUGAUUGUAAUGUUAUGCUCAAAUUAAGUAGCAACACCAACUUUAACUGUUGGCUAGUUAACCUUGUAUUAAUUGGAGCAACAAGCAAGCUUUUUGCGAAAUAAGUUUCAAGCCCAUACAUAGUAAACAUGAGCUUAUAUGAGUUAUUUUUAAUUUUUAUGUGCCAUAUAUGAGCAACUUGCCUACAUUGCCCUCAAGCCUUAGAGAUGAUUUAACUCAGUUAUAUUACGUUUAUGUAUAGUGCAUGUCAAUAAGCGUAGCACCACCCUCAACACUUCAUUUAUAUCUAAUUUCAUCCGUGUAGAAUUAAUAUAUGGACCAACAAAGGGUGCACAAGCUGGAUUGGUGAAAUGCAAGUAGUCUGCCUAACCAACAGCAAAAAGCUCUAAGCAGGCCCGGCCUCUCUGAACAGCAGAACUUGCAUACACCAUAUAAUAGCUUAGCCUUUCUAGGCCUUUUGGUUUCUUGCCAUGGAAAAAUAAUUAAAAUCAAAGUAAACUUUUAAGAAUUAUCAAUAAGUGCACUUAAUUAUUGUUUCACCUUAAUUGACUAUAACUCACCAUAGAUAAAUGUUUCUUAAUUAUUAUUUUUUUAAAGAUAGUAGAUAAUUGAUAAAACAAACAACUCUCAAAGUUUCACUUAAAUUUAUUGAUAUUUUUCUAAAACUUUUAUCAAAAUUUCUAUUUUUCGGACUAUCGAUAUUUUCUCGAUGUCCAAUAUUUCAGUCAUUGGAAUGAACUAUGUGAAUUGCUGGAAAGUAAAUUAAUUUUUGGGUAAACACGAUAUAAUAAUAAGAAAAAAAAAUCAGUUUCUUAUUAAUAUAUUAAUGUUCGGACUAAACUUUUACAUCGAAUGUUUUUAAGAAAGUUGUUCGGGUCAGAUUUUUAGGUCUUUCGAACAACCGUCUGAUGCGGACGUGCCAACACCUUGAGGAAGUGUGCAUGUCUUGAUCUUGUCUGGUUCGUGCAUUUUUCUUGACUUCUCUUCAAGAAGAUGUGAGCAGAAAUGGUCAGUUCUGCUGUUGGGUUCUUCACAUUGAC